AAAAUAGCGCAGCAAAUACAUAGCGACGCACAAGAAAAGUCGCAAAAAGUGUAGUAUCUGGCGGUGAAAUUCGUGCCGUAGGAGGAUAUCGGCGUGCAACUAACAGGCCAUAGCUAUUAGCUAAUUCCUGAGAAAAUGAAUUCUGUCCUACGCCUUCCACGGCUCCUGCUGGAGAAAAAUGUGGGCCUGAUGAGCAGAAUCUACAUGAGCACAACACCAGAGGUGAAGGAACGCAUAGACUCAAUGGUCAAGAACAACAAGGUGGUCGUCUUCAUGAAAGGCAUUCCAGAGCAGCCAAGGUGUGGUUUCAGCAAUGCUGUUGUGCAGAUCAUGAGGAUGCACAAUGUUCAGUAUGACGCCCACAAUGUCCUGGAGGAUGAGUCCAUCCGACAGGGAGUGAAGGACUACAGCAACUGGCCCACCAUUCCACAGAUCUACAUCGAUGGAGAGUUUGUCGGAGGGUGUGACAUUCUGCUGCAGAUGCACCAGAGUGGUGAGCUGAUUGAUGAACUGAAAAAGGUUGGCAUCAAGUCAGCACUGCUUGAGGCAGCAGAAAAUGAAAAGAAGGAAAAAUAGUGUGGGAUGAGGCCGAACAUGUAUGAGUGUUAUGUAACUUGUGCUAUUUUGCAAUUUGUUCACCAUUUUGUUCAGUAUGAUCCAACCAGUCAUUUUUAACUGGUCAAAAUAAGUGGGAUUGUACUGCAGGGAUACAUAAGAGCUGAAAAGUAACAUUUAUUAAUAAAUGGACUUCUGUC